rnacentral:rRNA from 1 species
UCAAGCUAAUAAGAGCGCAGGGAGGAUGCCUUGGCAUUGGGAGCCGACGAAGGACGUGGUAAGCUGCGAAAAGCUGCGGGGAAUUGCAAGCAAGUAUUGAUCCGCAGAUGUCCGAAUGGAGCAAUCCGUUAAGAGUAAUAUCUUAACAUCAUAUACUGAAUCAAUAGGUAUAUGAGGGGAACCGCCUGAACUGAAACAUCUAAGUAGGGCGAGGAAAAGAAAUCAACCGAGAUUCCGAAAGUAGUGGCGAGCGAAAUCGGAAGAGGCUAAACCGAACUCAGAAAUGAGAUCGGGGUUUAGGACUGCAUUUAGUAUUGAAAUGAGCGAGCAGAAUGCUUUGGGAAAAGCAGCCGAAGAACGUGAGAGCCGUGUAAGCGAAGUGAGUUUCAGCGAGCAGUAUCCAAAGUACCGCGGGGCACGUGAAAUCCCGUGGGAAGAUGGGGGGACCACCCUCCAAGCCUAAAUACUACCCAAUGACCGAUAGCGAAUAGUACUGUGAAGGAAAGGUGAAAAGCACCCCGGGAGGGGAGUGAAAAAGAACCUGAAACCCUGUGCUUACAAGCACUGAGAGCUCGUCAAAGAGUGAUCAGGUACCUAUUGUAGAAUGGUCCGGCGAGUUAUGAUAUGCAGCAAGGUUAAGUACUUAAGGUACGGAGCCGCAGCGAGAGCGAGUCUGAAUAGGGCGUAAAGUUGUAUGUCAUAGACCCGAAACCGAGUGACCUAGCCAUGUCCAGGCUGAAGUGGAGGUAAAACUCCAUGGAGGGCCGAACCGACCUCCGUUGAAAAGGCGGCGGAUGAGGUGUGGCUAGCGGAGAAAUUCCAAUCGAACUCGGAUAUAGCUGGUUCUCUCCGAAAUAGCUUUAGGGCUAGCGUUGCAACAGAUUACCGGAGGUAAAGCACUGAAUAGGCUAGGGGGCGAGAGCUUACUGAACCUUAUCAAACUAAGAAUGCCGGAUAAUUGAUUUGCAGCAGUCAGACAGUGUGAGAUAAGUUUCAUUGUCAAAAGGGAAACAGCCCAGACCCACAGCUAAGGUCCCAAAGUACAUUUGAGUGGAAAAGGAUGUGGGGUUGCAUAGACAACCGGGAUGUUGGCUUAGAAGCAGCCAUACAUUAAAAGAGUGCGUAAUAGCUCACCGGUCGAGUGACCCUGCGCCGAAAAUUCAACGGGGCUAAAAUGUACACCGAAGCUUGGGAUUGUACUAUGUACAGUGGUAGGAGAGCGUCGUAUGAGAGGAGAAGUCAGAGCGGAAGCGCUGGUGGAUUUCAUACGAGUGAGAAUGCCGGAAUGAGUAGCGAGAAUUAUGUGAGAAUCAUAAUGGCCGAAAGUCUAAGGUUUUGGAAGGAAGGUUCGUCCGCUUCCAGUAAGCCGGGAGCUAAGGUGAGGCCGAAAGGCGUAGCCGAUGCACAUACGGUUGAAAUUCCGUAGCCUCCGAAGUAUUUAAACAGAAGGACACUUGAGAAGUGAUGAUGCCGGGCGAUGGUUGACCCGGUCGUAAGGGACCGAAAUUUAGUAGGGAAGUCAUCAUGGAUCGAGGCGAGAAAAGUUCUGUGAAUAUACAAGGAGCCCGUACCGCAAACCGACACAGGUAGAUAGGAAGAAAAUUCUAAGGCCAACGGGAGAAGGGUUGUUAAGGAACUCGGCAAGUUGACCCCGUAACUUCGGAAUAAGGGGUGCUCUCGAGAGAGAGCCGCAGAGAAUAGGCCCAGGCGACUGUUUAGCAAAAACACAGCUCUAUGCUAAAUCGAAAGAUGAUGUAUAUGGGGUGACACCUGCCCGGUGCCGGAAGGUUAAGAGGAGGCGUGAGAGCGCUGAAUUGAAGCCCCGGUAAACGGCGGCCGUAACUAUAACGGUCCUAAGGUAGCGAAAUUCCUUGUCAGGUAAGUUCUGACCCGCACGAAUGGUGUAACGAUCUGGGCACUGUCU